GCAUUGCUGGCGUAACGCAGCGUGAACGCCUGAACCUGGUCAGGGCCGGAAGGCAGCAGCCAUAAGGGAUGAUUCGCGGGUGCCGUUGCUCACCGGCAAUGCUUUU
rnacentral:SRP_RNA from 1 species